rnacentral:lncRNA from 1 species
ACACGCGUCCUCAGCGCCGGACCCUGAGCCGGCCGCGAACACGGAUCCGACGUCAAGAACUGGGCACUUCCCGCUCCGUUUUGUCCGUGCCCCUCGGUGCUGGGACAGGCUAGAUGCUGACAGCUUGAUCUUGGACCUCAAGUUUUCCGAAUUGUGAUAAAUAGAUGUUUAUAAUAAAGCCACCCAGUCUGUGGUAUCUUGUUGUGAUAGCUGGACCUGACUAAUACACAGGGCAUGUGGCAAGUUUAAGGGGAAGAUGUCUUUCUGAAACAUUUGAAUCAAUCAGAAGUUCUUUUGGAACAACUAAGGAAAGAUGUCAGCUUGCUGCCUCAAAAUGCUGUUUGAUGACACUGGUUUAGAAAAUAGAAAACAGAUUUUUCUUUUCUCCGAAGAAAUAGAAAACUUUCCUCUGUACUCCAAGGGAUAUACAGGAAGAAUAGAAAUAUGAAUUUGAACUGUGACUAAGAGUCAGCAUGUACUUUCCCUUCUCUGGAAAAAGAAAAGAAAAAAGCUGGAGAAGUAAAGCUCAGAAGCACGGUUGGGUAUGGCUGAGUUAAGUAGACUACAUGAAAAAUAAACAGUCAACAAUCUUACAGAGAAAA